GAUGAAGAACGUAGCGAAAUGCGAUAAGUAGUGUGAAUUGCAGAAUUCAGUGAAUCAUCGAAUCUUUGAACGCACAUUGCGGCCAUAGGUAUUCCUUUGGCCAUGCCUGUUCGAGCGUCAUUUACACCCUCAAGCCUAGCUUGGUGUUGGGCGUCUGUCCCGCCGUUUUCGCGCGCGGACUCGCCUCAAAGUCAUUGGCGGCGGUCGUGCCGGCCCCCUCGCGCAGCACAUUUGCGCUUCUCGGAGGCCCGGCGGAUCCGCCCUCCAGCAAGACCUUUCACGACUUGACCUCGGAUCAGGUAGGGAUACCCGCUGAACUUAAGCAUAUCAAUAAGCGGAGGA
rnacentral:misc_RNA from 1 species